rnacentral:lncRNA from 1 species
CAGGCGGUACACAUGCUCGACAAGCUGCACAGCUCUGCUUUUUUUAGAUCUUUGACGUACAAAUCAUUAAAUUACAACAGUUGCAUAGUCAAAUCCACAUUUCUGAGUCGGAUAUUCUCGUCACCGCUUCCCGAAUCCCUUUUUCGGUCGCCUCGACACGGUCAUAUGGUCAUUAGCUUUGGUUUGACUCCUGCGAUAUUCCAAGCUGUUAUGGAUCGUCAAUCUCAAUCUUUCAUUCAUAAAUUACUUAUUAUUAUUUGGGUGACAUUCUGGUCUUUUCUAAGACGCGUGCGGAGCAUCUGCAGCAUUUGGAUUGUACUUGUCCGCCAGGUACUGCGGCGCCCACCGAUAACCUGCAGAGCUGCGUAAGUCUUUAUAGUUGACGAAUUGCUUCCGUAAGCUUACUGAGCGGUAUUCUGUGAUCACUUCGCCCUUGACAAUCUGAUGACACGUAAGAGGGAGCGUUUUUUUGGACACCCGCUGGGUUGUGUCAGCAUGCAGGUGUUCGAUGCUUCACUGUUAAAGCGUGCUGUCACCGAUCGAUGACAUUAUCCUGAGUUUACCUGAAUUCUCGUUUUGAAAUUCUGUUCCGUGUUGAGGUAGUAUCUGACACCUCUUGCUGUGGGUAAUGCUGUCCUGUUGCCAUCCUGUGGCGUUUUGGGUGGGGGUGAUAACCUACAGCAGAAUCUGCUUGCUGUUUUAAUAUGCACUGAAGGAGCAGCGCUGCUACCUGGAAGGCAGGCCCUUCAUUUUCGUAAGCCCCUUAUGUUCCUGCAAGGGGUGCCUACCCUGAACCGCCGCAGACAGGUUAGGUGGAUGGAAUACCAUGGGACUGGGAGACAUGGUAGUACACGUCUGGCUCCCUUAAAUUUGCUGAUGCUCUCUAUAGGCACCUUUCUCUGCACGCGGCCAUUUUUCUGUCAUGACAUGCUGCACCGCUGUCUGUUGAACUGCUGUUAGUUGUGCUUUCCAACUUGGCCUCGUGUAUUGAACCUGCCACCACCACUGACCCUACAUUUACUGAAGAACACAAUACAGGCCACGUGGUCUGUAGCUUCGAAGGGAGGGCUCUUGUCAGCAAGAGAUUGUGCCUGAUAAUGAUGCCGUGAUCUCCCUUCCUGUUUCCAUGAUGGACCGUUGGCGGAGCACCCUGGCUGCACGCAGAUGGUGGCCUCAGAUGGCUAAGGAUGCGAAGAACUACGUUCUGUCCUGUGAGCAGUUCCAGCACAACAAAGCUGCAUCAGGUUCCCCUGCAGGGACUCCUGCAACUCUUGCCUAUUCCUGCGGCCCCUUAGGAAAGU